ACCUAGCUAGCUCAGUUGGUGGAGCAUGAGACUCUUGAUCUCAGGGUUGUAAGCUUGAACCCUACUUUGGGUU
rnacentral:tRNA from 1 species